UCUUGUGUGGACGAAACGCGCGUCUUGCGUAUUUAAUUUUAAACCUGGUACCUUUUGUUAGCUAUUAUUCGUAUGUUUCUCUGUCCUAUAUGUUCUCCCAUUUAUUUGUAUUGUAGUCCUGUCAUGUAAUGUUAUCAUUUUAAUGUUAUAUUUAACAUUGCCAUAAAAGCGGGAGGUUUGGCUAGCCACAAAACCAGGUUCAACACACCAUUUUUUCUUAAAAUGUCAUGUACCAAGUCAGGAAAAUGGCCAUUGUUAUAUUAUAGUUCGUUUCUGUGUGUGUUGCAUUUUGGUGUUGUGUUUCUGUUGUGUCGUUGUUCUCUUCUUAUAUUUGAUGUGUUUUCCUCAAUUUUAGUUUGUAACCCGGAUUUGUUUUUUUCUCAAUCGAUUUAUGAAUUUCGAAUAGCGGUAUACUACUGUUGCCUUUAUUUAUAUGAUGACUCUAAACGAAAAAAAUAUAAUCUGAUCAGGUUAUAUACAUGUAUUUUCUUUAACAAUGUGAUGCAAAUGGUGUACCUGAUAUACAUGUAUUUUCUUUAACAAUAUGAUGCAAAUGGUUUAUCUAAGAUAACAGGGCAGUAUUUUUUUAUGCAUAA